GAUAUGGGUUUACAUAUCAAGACAUGUAAACCCAGAUAAAUUGGAACAUUAAUUAACCUAUGUUUUUUUUUUUUUUUUUUUUUUUUUUUUUAAUAAUGAGGGUCCAUCUGAAAAUGUAGUGAGUUCAUGAGGUAGGAGUUCAUACGUUUCUUACUUCUUCCUAGUCCUUUUCGAACGUGUUAAGAUUAUUGUAGUACAAAAAAUAUGUCUUUUGCAUUCCUUGUUCAUGUGUGUGAUUUUAUACUUGUCAUGUUCGAAAUAAAUAAAAUAAACAAUACUCAAAGAUUUCAGCUGUACCAUCAUCGAACCAGACUGUAAUCUUCUUCAGCAUAUUUUAAACGAGCUUCCACUUCAGCAUCGUUUCUUCAAUUAAAUUUAUGUUUUCAUUUAUGUUGGUCAGAGUGUUUAGGAAGUUUUAAUUCGCGUCCCUGAUUUCAAGUUUUCCUUCUGUGACCCGACACAGAAGCCGUUUAAACUUGACCACUUCUAAGAUUAAGACAAAAAAAAGCAACAAAAAAAAAAAAACAUGACAUUCAACUAAGUUAGGAAUUGGUUAGAAGAAAACAGCUGCGCUUGCCUUUCUUUACAGUCAGCAAUAAUAAAGCACCAAGUCUCAAUAACAACCAGUCGAUUUUUUACACACCUUUAAUUGGUGCGCACAUCAUUAUGAAGGACUUUAUAAUAUAUCUGGAUAUUGUGAUAAAGGAUGAUCAAAUCAUACAUUUUAUAAAACAUUGAAGUCGAGUUCAAUUUAUUAUGCCAAUUGGAAAAAUGUUUUUUUUUUUGUUAAUGUAAGGAAACCCAGUAUUGAGUUUGCAGCAAUCCCUCAUACUGAGCAAGUAUGUGGCGACAGUGGACAGCAUAACCCGACUGAGUGCGAGCAGCCAAAUAGGGGUUUGAUGUAUUCUCAUACUGAGAAUAAGGCAGCAAAUGUCAUGUAAAACUUGCACAGCUUCUCAAUAAGUCACAGGUACAGAAAUGUACUACUACUCUCUGUGUCAGCACCGUCAACACGGAUGAACGUGUGGGAAAAAAUGCCCAAACCACACUUAAUUUCAAAUCGUUUACUUUAGAGAACUGACCAGGAAGAACAUGCCUGGUUGUAAAAGGCUUCUUCAACCAGCUCACCAAAUCCCACACUGUGAGAACCAGAUGACAAUGGCCGUGCUAAACCCAAAUGCUAAAGAAUCCCAGCUUUAUGGUUAUCAUGCCACAUUGAAUGCAGAAAAGAAAGUUUCAUGCCUGUGUGUGUGUGUGUAUCUUUUAUGUGGGUCACCCCACCAUGUCUAAUGGCCCCUUGCUGCGUGCAGCGUCCUGCGUUGAGCUGCUCCCUGCUGUCACACACACACACACACACACACACACAAACAAAUGUGCGGGCACAGUGGGGGAGAUUUUUGGGGUCUCCCUUUGCCCUAAUACCCUCCACAAUACACCACUGCUGCAUCUGUUGCGUCUGUCCUCAAAGUUUAAAGUUGCUCGGUGAAGAACUAGCAUCCCUCUCCUCAUUAGCUAGCUUCUUUCCUCUUUUCUGAUGACAUCUGCUCACCCUUUCCCUCUUUUCUGCCACUUUUUAUUCUUUCAACUCAAAAGAUGGGUUAUUAUUAUUGCCAUUUUUUUCUGCAGUUUUUUUUGUUGUUGUUGUUUCACCCUAGGAUGACUGGGACUGGAUUUUACAAGGAGCAGACUUCAGCCUUUUUAGGCCUCCGUGACGCAUGCGGCUAGCGGCUAGCAGCUACCUCAACCAGGUGCACAGACUCCUCAUUGCGCCUGGGCGGAACAUGAAACGGUCCCUCCAGCUGGAAGAGCGAGAGCUGUGUGGGCUUCCUGAAGUGGUGCAGCGCCGGGUCAUCGGAGAGCCGCAGUGCAUGCUUGGGAACAGAAGCAGCUAUCUGUGUUAUUUCAGCAGCAGCAGCAGCAGCAUGUUGGAUGAAGGGCCCUUCCACGGGCAUUAUGGAUUAAUCUUUGGCAGGAUCUCAACUGGAUCGGCCCAAAAAUGGGAUGUUUAACCUCACGUGUAGCAGAACCGCUGUGAUAAAGCGGGAUAGAGAGAGGAUUGAGCGUGACCCACAUUGGGACUGUUCUAAAUGUAUUACCUGUGUUGACUGUUUAUGAAGGUAUGUGCUAUGCAAACCCACAAUGUUAUUCCAAGAGAGUCAUCACUAUAUAUAAAUAUAUAUAUAUAUAUAAAAGCAAGAACAGAUGUUUGCUAAUUCUGAAAGAUUUGUUUUAGAUGCAACAAUCAGAGAUCAGAAUCAGCAUUUUUUUUUAACUCUGACCAAGUCAAUACACUGACAAUGUUACGUUUCCCCUUCAUUCAUUAAAGCUACAUUCCUCCUAUGUAUACUUCCUAAACUCAACGACCACAACGCAAGUACUUUUAUGAUAUAUAAUUUUUUUAUUUAAGAAAAAUCAGAUCGAGGUUAGUUUAAUGCGCUUUCAUGCAUAAACUGGGUUUAACAUAGUCAUUGCUUCAUUUCUGUUGGAUUCCAGACAUCUAUCUCUAUCAAAGCAUCUGCAGUACAUCCUCCCCCCCCCCUUUUAUAUGUUAUAGUCCUAAGUGAAAAAAAAAAAAAAAUCACUCAAUCGAAUCUCAGAAUCAUCCUGUGAUCAUUCCUAAAAGACAAUCGGAAAUAUUUCUCACUUUCAGUCGUUAAUAGGCAACAUUUUUGAACUAUGUGGUUGCGUUUAAUCCACCACCUUUCACAUGUGAACACAGGUUCGCAGCUAAAGGCUCCCACUGCGGAUCUCCCUCGUUGUAAAUUGUUUGUUACACAGGCCUGAGUGGAGAGUCACUUUCCUGUCGAGCUUCACAUCAGGGAGUCAGUUUUGACAGGUCUGAAUAAAAAAAAUAAAAUAAAAAAAAGUCAGGAAUCGCACGUACAAGCCUCGGUUUACAGGGGAAAGGCAUGUUAUGAACCCAGUACGUUCUCCUGUAUCGCGAGAAACAAGUUAGGCACAAAAGGCGACUCUGUUUGCUCGUACGGAGCAGUUUGCAGCCUUUUCAUAGACAUCCCAGAUUAGAGAUCAGAGGGAUUUUCCACAGAAGAUAAAUCUGAUUUUAAGUCUGUGCUCUUAAUCCAGACUCCAUGGUCACGAGACGAUGACCCGUGACAGUCUGGUUGUGAUUAAACCUUCUGGUAACUAAAGCUUAACUUGGAUAUCGCAAAGUCACUCUCUCUUUCUCUUUCUCUCUCUCUCUCGGAACGCAAUCACACUUUUUUUUUUUGGUGAAUAUUUCAUGUUACUUGUUUAGAUUACAUGCAACUAAUAAAACAACAUCCUGCAUGAAUCAUUAAAAAGAAAAAGAAAAAAAGCAUAAAAACCUAAACCUGCUUCUCUUGGAACAUAUGCUUCAGCGGGCGAAGUUCUUUAUUUAAGAUUCAAGCAUUAGACCCGAGACAGUGAUCACAAAACUCUGUUUAGAUUGUGCAAGCAGCGUUUCAGCACUACAAAGGCAGCUACGUCUUUUCAUGAAGGAGUUUACAAGUACUUCCUGCUUUACAGUGGUGCACUCCAGAGAAGGUGAAGGCUUUAAUGUGCAAUUGCCAUCUAACAAAAACACGAUUAUGUCAGAAGCUGCGUGUACCAUUCUCUGUUCAAAGGGGCUUUUGUGAUCAUAUAUUUUAAUGUACUUUAUCAAAGAUUCCCUUUUUUUUUUUUCCCUGCGUCUGAACCCUGCAACAAAUGCUGCACCGUUUGAUAUUCGGCGUACGUAGUGGAAAGAUCGGAUUUUUAGGUGCUUUCAGAAGGACAAACGGAUCAUCACACCUCUGAUCACGAGCCCAUCGCCUGACAAGUGAACACAAAACCUCUCGGCUGAUUUAUGUUUUGGACUGUAAUUAAAACGUACGAAUGUGAAAUCACCCUGUCCUCCUGACGUGACUCACAGCAUUAGGAUUUGUCGCUCUUCUGGUUGUGUAAUUGCGGUCCCCGUGAAGUCAUGUGACCGGCGUGAACCCGUUUUCAACUUGAAAACCUCUUGGCUCGGCGUCUGCCAGAGUGUCAGCAGUAAUUCUCGGCGUGGUUUGAAAAGGGAUUCAGGGGG